rnacentral:lncRNA from 1 species
AGAGGAGCUGGUGUCCACAGGGGACAGGAAGCCGGUGCUGGCUAGGGGCGGGGGCGUCAGGCUGGUCCGUGUGAUGCCCAGGAUCUCUUUAGAAAUGUCCCAUCAGACCUGAAGCCUGUGGGUCCAGAAGACACAUUUGAUCGGAUCCAACCUUUGGAAGAUCUGCUUGGAAAUUUCCCACUUCGUGUCCUGAGUCCAGGAACCCAGCAGUGGAAUUUUGUAGUGAGUGGUCCUUUCUUCCACCUGAGGCUCUAUCCCCUGUAUCCAGUCAUUCUCUCAUUGUUUAAGGGUCUAUUCAAGACAAGUUUAUCAGAGCCAACUGCACAUCAGCUAGUUGGGAAAGCCAGAACGGUGACCAAAGCCAAUGAUAUCUGUACCCUCAUGGAAAUAGCGGUGUCAUGGAGGUCAUGGCAGUGCAGAGGUCCUGAGGCAAGAAAGAGUUUGAUGUGUGAAAAGGGCAUGUCUGGACACAUGGGGAAGAGGUGGAGAGGAGUAACUCUUUCAGGACCUCAGAGGUUGUGUUAAAAUAUGGAUUUUAAGUCUUAAGUGCAAUAGCUACCAGUAAUGACCAGUUUUAUGUAGGAAAAUGACAUGUGAUCAAAAUUUGCCUCCUAAAAACAUCACUCCAAUUUCUGAGUGGAGACAGGUGUGGGAGCAAGGAGAGUUAGGAGGCCACCGUGUAGUCUAAUGGGAGGUCAUGGUGGCUUGGAUCAGGGUAUUAGUGGUAGAUAUGAAGGCCAUUGGGGAGAUACUAGAUGAACUUGGGCAGUAGUACCUGCCAGUUGUGAUGGAUCAGAGUGGAGGAGGGGUGAGAAGGGUCUUAAGCAUGACUCUCCAGAUCUUGGCAUGGACAACAUAAUGGAGAGGGAAGUGCCAUUUCCUAUGAUGAGACAGGUUGCAAGAGAAUUAGAUUUGUGGGGAAGAUUCAGCUUCAAUUUGGGACUGAAAUUCUUUUUUGAGUUUGAGUAACACCUAAACACAGGGGGCUGGGGGAGGAAAUCAGCAGUUAGAUGGCCAGGUCUAGAAUUCAGGAGAGAAAUAUGGGCUAGCUCGAUCAUUCCUUUAUUCCUUCAUGGUGUUCAGUUUGAGGGUUCCUGGAUGGAGGCUUGGUCUGAACCCAGGGCAGUAAUUCAUACAGGGUGAUUACGAGAUGAUUUGAGGGGCUAGGAAUAAUAGCUACUUAUUUCUGCCAAAGGUUUGCAUGAGGCAAGUGCCUGGAUGGGUGCUCAUUGCUAUGGUUGUUAGUCAAGCAUCUUGAGCAUGAAGUGGAAGGUGGACUGCUGAACCUUUGGUGCUCCUGCCUGGGCUUGGCGUUGGGAGUUGUCCCUGAUAGAAACAAAGGGGUCGGAAUUUUAGACUCCAGUAAACAUGAUGGUGAGGGUAGCAGUGAUGAUGGAGGUGGCGAUGGUGGAUAUGGUAGAGUUAGAGGGGAUGGUGAUGACGGUUUUGGUGAUGGUGGUGAUGAUGGUGAUGAUGGUGGUGGUGGUGGUGAUGAUGGUGUUGGUGAUGAUGGUAUUGGCAAUGGUGAUGGCGGUACUGAUGAGAGAGGUGGUGGUGGUGAUGAUGAUGGUGGUGGUCAUGGUGGUGGUGGUGGUGGUGGUGAUAUUGAUGAUGGUGUGGGUGAUGGUGAUGAUGGGGUGGUGGUGAUGGUGGUGGUGGGAAUGGGCCCAGCUAGUAUGUGUUCUUUAAACUUAAAUUCACACCCAGUCCUGUGAUUUCUAUUUUAUGUGUUCAUUUUCCAUGCCAGGAGGUAGAAAAAGUGUAUAUGAAACUUAGCUGUUUAAGAUACAGGAUUUACACUAACCGUCCAUUUCCCAUCACUGUAGAGCCCAAUUCCCCUCAUCAUUUAAUUAGUAAAGGCAGGGUCCUUGGAGGUGGGGAAAUGCGUGGAUAAUGUUCCAAACCCUUAAUCUUUCAUCCUCAGCAGUCUCAUAGUAUGCAUUUCUUCAGUGGAUAUCAAGUAUAAGUAUUUAUUUGCCUGCCUUCCACAGACAAAUUGUGUCAUUAAGAACACUAUCAAAGAGGAUAUGUCUCCAUUGAGUGAUGUGGGUUAUUAUUUGUGUAUAAUUUUUUUGAGUUCAUUUAUUCUACAUGGCCUAGAGGACCCAGAACUUGCUCUGUUCUCUUAGACGUAACAAGAGGUUAUUUCGGGAGCUGAUUACUUGAUUUUUUAAAAAAAUUUUGGUCGUCCUGGGGUUGAAAGCUACAGAGAGGGGUGAUAUGCAUGUGUGCAACUCUAUCCUAUAUUUGGAAUGGGCUGAUCUUUUUUUUUUUUGAUAGAUUGUUGGCUGCUUGGAAUCGCAGAUGCAUCAUUAAGCUAUUGCAUUUAAAUUUAGCUCUUGUUCUCACUUUGGAAGGGAAUGGAAUGUUUCAAUUAUUUCACCACGAAGGGGAAGUGAUUAGAAAAUAGAUCCUCAUGACUUCUCAAAAAUAAGAGGUCUAGCCAGUGAGUCUCAGAGGGGGCUGCAUAUUUGACUCAGAAGAGGAGGCUCUUGAGUGGACCUUCAGUGUGGAGGAAAUUAAAAUUGCCUUAAGCAGGAGUUCCUGCUCUGGCACAGUGGGUUAAGGAUCUGACUGUAGAGGCUCAGGUUGCUUUGGGGGGAGGUGUGGGUUUUGAUCCCUGUCCCAGUGCAGUGGGUUAAUAAGGACCUUGUGUUGCCACAGCUGUGGCACAGGUCACAGCUGUGGCUUGGAUUCAGUCCCUGGCUUAGGAACUUUCAUAUGCUGCCACUGCUGUGGCCAUUAAAAAAUAAAUAAAUAAAUAAAUAAAAAAUAAAAUUGCCUGAAACACACCUUGGUGAUCACUAAGGUUUAAGCUCCCCAAGGGCAGCGUAUAUGUAAGCCAGCCAAGAUCAUUAUUCUUAAUAGGAUUGUGUCCACUCUUUUAAAUAGGGGCCAGGGCCCCUCUGUGUAAACAAAACAUUAAAAUGUCUAUUCCUAGACCCAAGUUGAAGAAAUGUCACCCACAACACUUUCACAGGGUUGAAUAUGUGAAUAUGUGGAAACAUCUUUAAAAUCAUUUUCCUUUGUCAGAUUUCAGGGGCAGCAGAUGCCCCUUGAAGUCAUAUCUUAGGUGUAUAAAGAAUGAAAAUCAUAAGUGACUAGACAUAGUUCCAAGUGCUACAUCCUGUAUAACUUUCCCAUCCUUGAUCCCCAUCAAUAAUCACAGCUCUCCGUUGGAUGUUUCCUUUCAGGAUUUUCGGACCCUCUUCCAUGUGUAAAAAAUAUAUACACAAACAUAUACAGAUGCCUAUGCAUAUACAGUAGGAUGAGUAGGCAUUCCCACUGUGGCACAAUGGGAUGGAUGGUGUUUCUGGAGUGCUGGGACACAGGUUCAAUCCCCAGCCCGGCACAGUGGGUUAAAGAUCUGGUGUUGUCAAAGCUGCAGUGUAGCUCACAACUGUGGCUCGGAUCUGAUCCCUGGCCCAGGAAUUCCAUAUGCCAUGGGGUGGCCAAAAAAAGGGUGUGUGUGUGUGUGUGUGAGAGAGAGAGAGAAAGAGAGAGAGAGAGAGUUAUGUCUAACAGCCUGACUUUGUACAUAAUAGCUGCUCAGUCAAUAUUUGCUGAAACCGGAGAUGGUUGACCCUGCAAGGAAAUGGACCCAUUGGUCCAUUGGCACUUUGACCGCAACAUCUGUUUUUCACUCCCCCUCUUAGAUAAGUUGUAUUGUUCCUGCCUCCUGGGGUUGGCCCCAAAGAACUAAGUACUCAAUUCCAUGAGCUCUUGGAACACAGAUUGCAUCCAACUCUGCAUACAGUUGGAGAGAGGGAAAUUUUGUCUUCUCUGCCUCUGUGGAGGAUUUUGUGACUGUCAGCCUGGGGAAGGCAUAGCCAAAAUCUAUUGACCAACCCAGUAUUUCCAGAGUGUUCUACAGGGAACCAAAUAGACAUCUAUGGUCAACAAAGCCUGGAUACAGUAAUGUAGUUACUAGAAAAAAAUUCUUUAUUAAAAAAUUAUAACUAGCACAGUAAUACAUGGUUUCAUAGUAGUAAUACAAAGUUUCUCUUUUUUCAAGAAAUAAAUCUUGGAGUUCCCAUUGUGGCUCAAUGGGUUUAGAACCUGACAGAAGUGUCUGUGAGGAUGCGGGUUUGAUCCCUUGCCUCCCUCAGGGCAUUAAGGAUCAGGCAGUGCCACAACCUGCGGUGUGGGUCUCAUAUGUGGUCAGAUUUGGUGUGGCUAUGGCUGUGACAUAGGCCUGUGGCUGCAGCUCCUAUUUGACCCCUUGCAUGGGAACUUCCACAUGCUGCAGGUGCAGUCCUCAAAAGAAAAAAAAUUUAUUUUAUUUUUAAUGAUAAAAUACAUUUCACCUUUACUAGUUUAUUUCCUGGUCAACCAACACAUUUUUUUCCUAUUUCAUUUUUCAAAAUGUUAUUGAAGUAGAGUUGAUUUACAAUGUUGUAGUAAUUUCUGCUGUACAGCAAAGUGAUUCAGUUAUGCAUGUACACUCAUCCAUUCUCUUUCAGAUUCUCUCCCUAUGUAGAUCAAGACAUUUUCAAUUUGUUUCAUUAUAUAAGUUUCAGGGGCACAGCAUUAUAAUUUGGCAUCUGUAUGCACGACAGAUUCCACCAUGAGUCUAGUUACGGUCCUUCAUCAUAUGCUUUGACCCUUCACCUUCCCCCCAACCUCAUUCCCCUUUGGUAACUCCUAAUCUGAUCACUGUAUGUAUGAGUUUAUUUUUGUUUUAUUUGUUUUGUCUUUAGAUUCCAUGUAUGAGCGAAAUCAUAUGGUAUUUGUCUUUCUCCAUCUGACUUAUUUCACUUAGCAUAAUGCCCCCAAGGUCUAUCCAUGUCGUCAAAAAUGGCAGGAUUUUGUUCCUUUUUUAUGGCUGAGUAGUAUUCUAUGUAUAUAUACAUACACUGCUAUCUUAAUCUAUUCAUCUGUUGACAGACACUUAGGUUGUUUCCAUAUCUUGGCUAUUGUGAAGAGUGCUGCUAUGGGAGUUCCCAUCGUGGCUCAGCGGAAACGAAUGUGACUAGCAUCUAUGAGGAGGCAGGUUUGAUCCCUGGCCUUGCUCAGUGGGCUAAGGAUCUGGCAUUGCCAUGAGCUAUGGUGUAGGUUGCAGAUAUGGCUCAGAUCUGGCAUUGCUGUGGCUGUGGUGUAGGCCAGAGGCUACAGCUCUAAUUCAGUCCCUAGCCUGGGAACCUCCAUAUGCCAUGGGUGCCGCCCUAAAAAAAAAAAAAAGGAGAGAGUGCUGCUGUGAGCAUUUGGGGAGCAUGUUGUCUUUUUAGAUUACUGUUUUUGUGUUCUUUGGAGAAAUACCUAGAAGUGGAAUAGCUGGAUCACAGGAUAGUUCUAUUCUUAAUUUUUUGAGGAGCCUCCAUACUGUUUUCCAUAGUGGCUGCACCAGUUUACAUUCCCACCAACAAUGGUUCCCUUUUCUCUACAUUCUCUCCAACAUUUGUUAUUUCUGGUCUCUUUGAUGAUAGCCAUUUGGACAGGCAUGAAACUGGACAGCCACAGGCAAAUAAUGAAACUAGGAGUUCCCGUUGUGGCUCAGAAGGUCAAUGUUGUCUCUGUGAAGAUUUGGGUUCAAUACCUGGUCUAGCUCAGUGGCUUAAGGAUCCGGCAUUGCCACAAGCUGAAGCAUAGGUUGCAGAUGUGGCUUGGACUUGAUGUUGCUGUGGCUGUGGCAUAGGCCAGCAGCUGCAGCUCUGAUUCGACCCCUGGCCUGGUAACUUCCAUAAACUGCAGGUGCAGCUGUAGAAAAAAAAAAAAAAAAAAAAAAAA